rnacentral:rRNA from 1 species
AACGUAGGAGACAAACGUUAUCCGGAGUUACUGGGCGUAAAGGGCGUGUAGGUGGUUGCGUAAGUCUGGCGUGAAAUAUCUCGGCUUAACCGAGGCAGGUCGUCGGAUACUGCGUAACUGGAGGACGGUAGAGGCGUGUGGAAUUCCGGGUGUAGUGGUGAAAUGCGUAGAGAUCCGGAGGGACACCAGUGGCGAAGGCGACACGCUGGGCCGUACCUGACACUGAUGCGCGACAGCAUGGGGAGCAAACAGG